UUAAACGGAUUUUUAUAUUUAAAAUUUCUCGAAAUCUAAAGAGCUAAGAGAUUAUAUAUUUUAAUGUGGAAUAAUUAUUUGGAAUAAUUUUUUUGUAAUGAUAUGUUAGUCGGUUUGGAUGAUAUCUAGUUUUUUAAGAAAUAAAUUUAAUUUAGUUUGUUGUUAAUAAUUACUUUUUUGGGAAAGUGGUUAUUUAUAAUAAUUUAAUAUUCAAGGGGAUAAGCUUUUGAAUAUAUUUUUAUAAUUUAGGUAUAUUUGAAUAAAUUGUAGGAUUGGAAGUUUUUAUCAUUAAAAGUGAGUUUUAUCUUUUUAUUUGAAUUUAAAAUUUUAUUUUAUUUAAUUCUUUUAUUAAAAUAUUAUAGAUAAUUGAUUUUUAUAAAUAAUAAUGAUAAAAUUAGUAUAAUUUUAUUUAUCUUGAAAGGUUAAUUAAAGGAAUUCGGCAAAAUAAUUUUCUGCCUGUUUAAUAAAAACAUGGCUUUUUGUGAUAAUUUAAGGUCUGGCCUGCCCAAUGAUAAUUAAAUGGCCGCGGUAUUUUAACCGUGCAAAGGUAGCAUAAUCAUUAGUUUUUUAAUUGAAAGCUAGAAUGAAUGGUUGGACAAGAAAAUUACUGUCUCUGAUUAAUUUUAUUUAGAAUUUUAUUUUUAAGUCAAAAAGCUUAGAUUUGAUUUAGGGACGAGAAGACCCUAUAGAAUUUUAUAAUUUACUUAGAUUUUAAAAUUAGGGUUUGGUUUUUUAUUUUAAAUGAAUUAUUUUGUUGGGGUGAUAGAAAAAUUUAACUAACUUUUUUUUUAUUUUUACACUAAUAUGUGAUUAUGUGAUCCAGAUGUUUUGAUAUAAGAUUAAAUUACCUUAGGGAUAACAGCGUUAUUAAUUUGGAGAGUUCUAAUCGAUAAAUUAGAUUGCGACCUCGAUGUUGGAUUAAAAUUUACUUUAGGUGCAAAAGCUUAUAAGUUAAGUCUGUUCGACUUUUAAAAUUUU
rnacentral:rRNA from 1 species